ensembl:lncRNA
CUCCUGUCACGAGCAAUUAAUGAAGACUCCCGUGCCUUUGGAUGUUUUUGGAUUUCUAGCAGAAGAAAGCUGGAGAUCCGUGCAUCCUCUUAAGACCAAGUGUCUGUGUGAAGACAGAACACAUCAGUGGGAUCAUGAUGAAGGUCUUCUUCAAGACCUCACUGAAGUGGACGGAUCGGGGAGAGCGUGCUUUCAUGACAAUGUCAUCGGCGGGACUUUUCCAUGUGAGCAGGUACGUGGAGUCUGUUUCAAAUGUAGAGCGAGAGGGAUUGAAUGUUCUCAAAAGCAGAAUUUUAGAGGAGAUUGAAAUAAUGGCUCUCGGCUUUUAAAGGGAAGAGCUCAUUUUAGGUUAAUACGGUAAGCCCAAUUACUGAAGGUGCUUUUCCAUUGUCAUCUGGUAUUUCUCCUUGAGCAGAUUAGCCGUCAGCACAAAAAACUCACAGUAUCCAGGAUUUGGUGCUUUUCACUGAUCUGGCUAAAAUGAAGCACUUUCCAGAGAAAAGAGGAGCAAAUGGAUCCAAUGCUGGGGUCUCAUUAGAGUUUGCCCACCGAAAUCUGUAGCAUGACACACAUGGUGAAAUGAUCGAAUCCUGGGCACCGCUGCUCACUGUCUGGCUUCUACAUCAGUGCUUUUUGACAAGUUCAGUUCAAUUCAGAUUUAUUUAUAUACUGCUUUUUAUAUUUGUUUAAAGCAGGCUUACACAAAAUACACGUUUUUACUGUACAUUGCAAUUAAGAGUAAUCUCUUAACAGAGGUGACUGUGUCAGAUUGAUGUUGUUCAUAUGGCAGAAAUGAGUACAUGUUCUGAUUAUAAUGAUCAUAAUAUGAGGUAAAUUAGGCAGUUCUGUAUGUAGAUUCAGAGUCUGCUUCAUCCAUUCCAGGACGCAGAUUUUAGCCCCAAAGUAGCAAUAAUGCACUAAAAGUGGUUUAUUAUUGGUUUCUAAAUCUCUCCUGACAAGCCAUUUUCAUCUGGACUCUAAGUGAAUCAGUAUUUAAUGUCAUCUGGGUCAUAUUUUCUAUAAUCGUGUUUAGUUUUAAGGAUGAUGUCUCAUCCUGUCCAUGACUAGCUUCUACCUGAAUGAAUGACCUUUGAAAUUUAACACUUAAGUGUGUUCACCUCCCUUUCAAAAGUUGAUUAGUCUAUUUGUUCUGUACACGAUUAUAUGAAAAGUUGCAUGCCAUUAUUUGCAUAAAGCUUUUUUAGUUUUUUUCCUGAUAGCAUCCCAUCAGUUAUACUUAAAGCAUCAGAAAGCCCUUUGGGAUGGAGUGAUGUUUAGAGCCAAACUGGUGU